rnacentral:rRNA from 1 species
UACGUAGGUGGCAAGCGUUGUCCGGAUUUACUGGGCGUAAAGAGCGCGCAGGCGGUCGUUCAAGUCGCGUGUGAAAGCCCCCCGGCUCAACUGGGGAGGGUCACGCGAUACUGAUCGACUCGAAGGCAGGAGAGGGUAGUGGAAUUCCCGGUGUAGUGGUGAAAUGCGUAGAUAUCGGGAGGAACACCAGUGGCGAAGGCGACUACCUGGCCUGUUCUUGACGCUAAGGCGCGAAAGCUAGGGGAGCAAACGGG